GGAAAAGCGGUGACUAUACAUGUGAGUCGAACGGCAGCACGGGUGCUUGCGCCUGGUGGCGAGUGGCGAACGGGUGAGUAAUACAUCGGAACAUGUCCUGUAGUGGGGGAUAGCCCGGCGAAAGCCGGAUUAAUACCGCAUACGAUCCACGGAUGAAAGCGGGGGACCUUCGGGCCUCGCGCUAUAGGGUUGGCCGAUGGCUGAUUAGCUAGUUGGUGGGGUAAAGGCCUACCAAGGCGACGAUCAGUAGCUGGUCUGAGAGGACGACCAGCCACACUGGGACUGAGACACGGCCCAGACUCCUACGGGAGGCAGCAGUGGGGAAUUUUGGACAAUGGGCGAAAGCCUGAUCCAGCAAUGCCGCGUGUGUGAAGAAGGCCUUCGGGUUGUAAAGCACUUUUGUCCGGAAAGAAAUCCUUGGCUCUAAUACAGUCGGGGGAUGACGGUACCGGAAGAAUAAGCACCGGCUAACUACGUGCCAGCAGCCGCGGUAAUACGUAGGGUGCGAGCGUUAAUCGGAAUUACUGGGCGUAAAGCGUGCGCAGGCGGUCUGUUAAGACAGAUGUGAAAUCCCCGGGCUCAACCUGGGAACUGCAUUUGUGACUGGCAGGCUAGAGUAUGGCAGAGGGGGGUAGAAUUCCACGUGUAGCAGUGAAAUGCGUAGAGAUGUGGAGGAAUACCGAUGGCGAAGGCAGCCCCCUGGGCCAAUACUGACGCUCAUGCACGAAAGCGUGGGGAGCAAACAGGAUUAGAUACCCUGGUAGUCCACGCCCUAAACGAUGUCAACUAGUUGUUGGGGAUUCAUUUCCUUAGUAACGUAGCUAACGCGUGAAGUUGACCGCCUGGGGAGUACGGUCGCAAGAUUAAAACUCAAAGGAAUUGACGGGGACCCGCACAAGCGGUGGAUGAUGUGGAUUAAUUCGAUGCAACGCGAAAAACCUUACCUACCCUUGACAUGGUCGGAAUCCUGAAGAGAUUCGGGAGUGCUCGAAAGAGAACCGGCGCACAGGUGCUGCAUGGCUGUCGUCAGCUCGUGUCGUGAGAUGUUGGGUUAAGUCCCGCAACGAGCGCAACCCUUGUCCUUAGUUGCUACGCAAGAGCACUCUAAGGAGACUGCCGGUGACAAACCGGAGGAAAGGUGGGGAUGACGUCAAGUCCUCAUGGCCCUUAUGGGUAGGGCUUCCACCGUCAUACAAUGGUCGGAAAAAAAGGGUUGCCAACCCGCGAGGGGGGAGCUAAUCCCCAGAAAACCGAUCGUAGUUCCGGAUUGCGCUCUGCCACUCCAGGGCAUGAAACUGAGAUCCCUUGAAUCCCGGAUAACAUGCCCCGGGGAUAAUAUCCCGGCUUUGUUACAACCCGCCACACACUGGGAGAGGGGUUUUCCAAAAAGGGAGGUUACCCCCAGAGGAGGGCCCGAGAGUUACGGGGUUGUUGUUAGAAACAGAGGGGAAGAAGCGUCAAACAAAAAAAAAAAG
rnacentral:rRNA from 1 species